CGAAGAAGUCACAUCCGUCACUUUCAAGCCUAGGUGUAUGAGGUGUGGGGGAGGAAAGCACAGGCAUCCCUGAGAAGCCUGUUGGAGAAUCAGCAUCCUCAGGGGAGAUUCGAGUUUCAAUCGGAGCAAGAAGCAUCCCAGAGGCACUUUAACCAAACCCUGGAGAGAGAAGAAAUAAGCCAUAGGUCAUAAAGAUGGCGAUGGUUAUUUCCUUCCUCAUACCCAUGGUUUGUUACAAUGUGACUUUGCGGUUCUUCCCAUCAGUAAACAGAAGCCAUUUUCUUACUCCUUGCCUCUGGAUGGGCCUUGUGGCUUGCUUUGAGCAAUAGAACGCAUCAGAAGGUGACCUCAUGCCAGUUUCAUGCCUUGGCUUCAGGAGGCCUUGAAUUCUCUGCUGCUCCUUAGGAAUCUUCUGAGCCACUGCUUAACAAGCUCCAACCUCUCCAGCUGGAAGAUGAGGCAUAAUACAGAGGAGAGGCAAACUGUCCUAAAGAGACUACCCUAAGCCAACCAGUCCAGAUGACAGGAGGUUGACCUUGACACAUGUGUAAGCCCAGCCAAGGUCAGCCAAACCUAGUACAGAUCAGAAAAACCAUCUAUCAAUGCUCAGCCCAAAUUUCCAACCCACAGAAAUAUGAAUUAAAUAAAUGAUUGUUGUUUAAACCAUCUUGAUUUUGAGAUGCUCACACGACUGACAGCUGAUUGAACUGCCAUCUGGCUACUUACCAGGUUUAAAAAUCACAAUUAUGUCUGCAUAUGCACACAAUGCUAACUCUUUUGGAUGGGCCUUUUCUCAUAGGAUUCUCUUUCUCAAACACAGUUGAAUUAUCUUUUUAUUAUGUUUUCUCCAUCCAGUUUCUAAUUGUGGGAUCUUAUUUGUGGGAUCUAAAAAAUUGAACUCAUGGACAUAGAGAGCAGAAUGAUGGUUACCAGAGGCUGGGAAGGGUAGUGGGGGGAUGUGAGGCAGUAGGGAUAAUGAAUGGGUAUAAAAAAUAAAAAGAAUGAAUAAGACCUACUAUUUGAUAGCACAACAGGGUAGCUGCAGUCAAUACUAAUUUAGUUGUACAUUUUAAAAUAACUAAAAGAGUGUAAUGGGAUUGUUUGUAAAACAAAGGAUAAAUGCUUGAGGGGGUGGAUACCCCAUUUUCCAUGAUGUGAUUAUUUUACAAUGCAUGCCUGUUUCAAAACAUCUCAUGUACCCUGUAA
rnacentral:lncRNA from 10 species